ACGGAAGGCAGCAGUGGGGAAUAUUGGACAAUGGAGGCAACUCUGAUCCAGCGACGCCGCGUGAGUGAAGAAGUAUUUCGGUAUGUAAAGCUCUAUCAGCAGGGAAGAAAAUGACGGUACCUGACUAAGAAGCCCCGGCUAACUACGUGCCAGCAGCCGCGGUAAUACGUAGGGGGCAAGCGUUAUCCGGAUUUACUGGGUGUAAAGGGAGCGUAGACGGUCUGGCAAGUCUGAUGUGAAAGGCAGGGGCUCAACUCCUGGACUGCAUUGGAAACUGUCAGUCUUGAGUGUCGGAGAGGUAAGCGGAAUUCCUAGUGUAGCGGUGAAAUGCGUAGAUAUUAGGAGGAACACCAGUGGCGAAGGCGGCUUACUGGACGAUAACUGACGUUGAGGCUCGAAAGCGUGGGGAGCAAACAGGAUUAGAUACCCUGGUA
rnacentral:rRNA from 1 species